rfam:Salmo salar isolate Sally breed double haploid chromosome ssa13, whole genome shotgun sequence.
UGCAUUCACUACUGUAAGUCGCUCUUGAUAAGAGCGUCUGCUAAAUGACUAAAA